rnacentral:rRNA from 1 species
AGAGUUUGAUCCUGGCUCAGGACGAACGCUGGCGGCGUGCCUAAUACAUGCAAGUAGAACGCUGAAGAGAGGAGCUUGCUCUUCUUGGAUGAGUUGCGAACGGGUGAGUAACGCGUAGGUAACCUGCCUUGUAGCGGGGGAUAACUAUUGGAAACGAUAGCUAAUACCGCAUAACAAUGAAUGACUCAUGUCAUUUAUUUGAAAGGGGCAAUUGCUCCACUACAAGAUGGACCUGCGUUGUAUUAGCUAGUAGGUGAGGUAACGGCUCACCUAGGCGACGAUACAUAGCCGACCUGAGAGGGUAAUCGGCCACACUGGGACUGAGACACGGCCCAGACUCCUACGGGAGGCAGCAGUAGGGAAUCUUCGGCAAUGGGGGCAACCCUGACCGAGCAACGCCGCGUGAGUGAAGAAGGUUUUCGGAUCGUAAAGCUCUGUUGUAAGUCAAGAACGAGUGUGAGAGUGGAAAGUUCACACUGUGACGGUAGCUUACCAGAAAGGGACGGCUAACUACGUGCCAGCAGCCGCGGUAAUACGUAGGUCCCGAGCGUUGUCCGGAUUUAUUGGGCGUAAAGCGAGCGCAGGCGGUUUGAUAAGUCUGAAGUUAAAGGCUGUGGCUCAACCAUAGUUCGCUUUGGAAACUGUCAAACUUGAGUGCAGAAGGGGAGAGUGGAAUUCCAUGUGUAGCGGUGAAAUGCGUAGAUAUAUGGAGGAACACCGGUGGCGAAAGCGGCUCUCUGGUCUGUAACUGACGCUGAGGCUCGAAAGCGUGGGGAGCGAACAGGAUUAGAUACCCUGGUAGUCCACGCCGUAAACG